UGGUCUGUACUGUAUCUCAUCAGACUUGGACAUCAAUAGUUGAUGCUUCCUGCAGGUGUAACAGGUUCAAAAAGAGAUUGCUCCAUUCUAUCAUUGACAUAUGUCUCUUUGUUGUAGAUUUUGUAACACAGCCUUAUAAAAGAUGUGGGCCAAUGUUUGAAUGACAAACUUUACACAUUUUUAGUGUUUGCGAUGAACAAAGUAAACCCAAGGCUAGCUCGACAUGAAUGCCUCUUACUUUCACCCUACAUUGUGAGUGGUUCCAGGUCCUUGACAGUCAAUCACAUACCCUUUUGUAGUGAUUUAACAAUUAUCCUUUCGGUUUAGGUGAUGCUGCCAUCGGUGAUGGUGUAAGUCAGUACUUCGUCAGCUUUGCUAUAAAGACCUUGCAGUCUGGAUUCCACAUCAAUUUUGGCAAUGCUGAUGUGACUAGGCUGUUUGAGGGACAGAAGGAUCACCUCAUCCCCUGUGACUCCGAGCCACUAACUGAUUCUGUCCUUUUUCUGAUGGCAGGUAGAAUGUUGGGACAUUCAUUUAUACAUGGUGGCCCGGGAUUGCCAGGGAUCAGUCCUUCUCUAGUCCAUGUGCUCUUAGGGGGCCAGUUGGAGACAGCGGCAUUGGUAUUGGAGGAUUGCCCUGAUAUCGAUCAAAGGAACACAAUCCAGUUGCUGGAUGGCAACAGGGAGCUAUCUGAGAAAACCAGAAAGCGGCUGUCAAUAGGCUAGUUGACGUGGGAAUUGCCAUGACUGACUAAUCUGAACAGACAAUAUCUUCAUCAGAGGCCGUUGCAGCAUGUGUGGUUAUGAAUCAAACAGAUAAGAAAGGGCUUAAAAGAAACAGGAGUGUGGUCAAUACUGUCAGAAAGAAGAGAUGUGGCUGAAGCUGUCUUCCCGUGUGAAAAAAUAAGUUAUCUGCAGCCCCCAGGUCAUGAUUUGUCACAUCAUCUGGCCAACAAUUGAGGUUGUUGAGGACGAAGAAGAGGGAUUUCCACUUGAGACAAGAGCCAAAAUUGGAAUGUACCUUCGCCAUUUCAUUGAAACGGCACCAGAAGCAUCUCGGAUUAUCCUACUCAAGUUUUGGACUGGAUGGGAAGUUCUCUCUGGGCAGCUGAAGCUGGAGGUGGUACGUGGGGAGUUCUCAAAAUCCUUGACUUGUUACCAGAGCCUACGCAUCCCUCGCCACUUCUCAACUUAUGAGGAACUUCAACAAGCAAUUGAAGCAUCUAUUGGGACAUCCGAUACUGGAUUUGGACUGAAAUAAUGCAGCUCCAUGCAAUACAUGUGUGAAACAUGUCAGUUCUAAAUUUCCUUUAUUCAAAUUUCAUUUAUUUUAGGCCAACAUAUAUUUAACAAUGUUGAAGUUAAGAAAAAAAUGGCAUCUUUACAGGCCGUGGAGUUGUAGCAUAAUGUUGUCAUAAUGAAUGGUGUUUAAAAAAAAUAUAUUACAAAAUGCAUGUUCGGUAAGUGUUUAUUCACAGUAUUCCCUUUGUGUCCAGUAUUCAUUCAGGGUUACAUUUACAAUGUUUAAACCAAAUUUUUUAAGAGAAUGUUCACAACCUGUUGUACUGAGUGUUCUGUAACAGAAAUGACUCGAACCAAACAGACAGAACCAAAAAUUUAAGAGUCGAUCAGGGCUGUGUUGAAACACGAGCCAAAUUCCGCAGGAAUUCAUAAAUCAGUUCUAGUGCCACAAGAACCAAGCAAGAUGACCAACCAACUUUUUCACAAAACAGCUUUCAA